rnacentral:piRNA from 1 species
UACCAUUAUUAGAUCUCCCUCCGUGCUUGU